ensembl:rRNA 5S_rRNA 5S ribosomal RNA
GCCUAAUCCUAUACCACCCUGAACCUAUCUGACCUCUUCUGAUCUAGGAAGCUAAGCAGGGCUGGGCCUGGUUAGUAUUUGGAUAGGAGGCC